GUGGUGGUGUUCAGUGGUAGAAUUCCCACCUUCCACACGGGCGACCCAGGUUCGAUUUCUGGCCAGUGCA
rnacentral:tRNA from 1 species